rnacentral:lncRNA from 1 species
AUGAGUGGUCCGGAGAAGAAAAAGACAGUGAUCCUGGUCCUCCUGCUGCUGGUGGGGACACUUGGGGUGGUGCAGCAAUGCCUCAGACCAUCCGUGUCCUCCGAAGCAGGGGAACAGUUAAGACUUAGGAGAAAUGCAAACGGGUCAGUAGGGGCCAAGAGUAACAUAGGUAGACGUAGAGGGCCUGUAGGGAAAGAAUGGCCUAGGGUUAAUGUGUGGACCUCUAAUGACCCUGGGUGGAGUUAUGGGGUGUGGACCACCUGGAGUGCCCAGAUGUCAAUUAUAGAGUGGGACUCGACUGCAGACACAAUGACCAUUUAUGUGUCUGUGGAUCAGGAGUCCCAGGAGCGGUUGUGUGGGAUAGAGUGGAUGGGCCAGCGCAUGUAUGAGUUCCCUACUUCCUGGGGGAAAGACAGGUGUUCCAUCAGAGUGAGAGAGGGAGAGACGGAGUCAGGAAAAGUAUGGGACAUUAGAGUAGGUUUUCGCAAUAGGAAACCUGAGAGUCCUAGAGUCAUCUGGUCUAAGAAUAAAGGAGGGAGUGCACACCGUGAGGUUGCAGCCCUACAGCCCCCACCAGGAAACAUCGUGGAGGAUGAGGAUGAGGUUCAGACUCAGCGGCCAGCCGGAUCAGCGACCAAAGAGCUCGUUGUUGCUUCAGCGGGGGCUUCAAUGCCGAACAGUGGUUCAGGCCUUUCAGGAUGGAUGCAGCAAGCUGUGUCAGGAUGGACUGAUGGGCUGAUCACAAAAUUACAAGGAUUUUUGUCAGAACAAGAUGAGGAGGAAGACGAGGAACAGGGUGAGAAUACUCUAGUGGAUGUGCGCCUGCAAAAUAGCUGGUACAGAUGGGUUCAGUUUGCGGGGUUGGCUAAUGGGAAGACUGAUUGUUACAUCUGUACUAAAGCCAAGCCUGAUAGGUUUUUUGUGCUAAAUACGAUUUUCAGUUGGCAGGAUUGUGAAAAGAGAUUGCGGGCAUACACUCAAAGUCCCAGACCCUGGUGUUAA